rnacentral:rRNA from 1 species
AGUCGAGGGGUAUGCUUCUUCGGAAGUAGAGACCGGCGCACGGGUGCUUAACGCGUAUGCAAUCUACCUUUUACAGAGGGAUAGCCCAGAGAAAUUUGGAUUAAUACCUCAUAGUAUAAUAGCUCGGCAUCGAGCAAUUAUUAAAGUCACAACGGUAAAAGAUGAGCAUGCGUCCCAUUAGCUAGUUGGUAAGGUAACGGCUUACCAAGGCUACGAUGGGUAGGGGUCCUGAGAGGGAGAUCCCCCACACUGGUACUGAGACACGGACCAGACUCCUACGGGAGGCAGCAGUGAGGAAUAUUGGACAAUGGGCGCAAGCCUGAUCCAGCCAUGCCGCGUGCAGGAUGACGGUCCUAUGGAUUGUAAACUGCUUUUGUACAGGAAGAAACAGUUCUACGUGUAGAACCUUGACGGUACUGUAAGAAUAAGGAUCGGCUAACUCCGUGCCAGCAGCCGCGGUAAUACGGAGGAUCCAAGCGUUAUCCGGAAUCAUUGGGUUUAAAGGGUCCGUAGGCGGUUUAAUAAGUCAGUGGUGAAAGCCCAUCGCUCAACGGUGGAACGGCCAUUGAUACUGUUAAACUUGAAUUAUUAGGAAGUAACUAGAAUAUGUAGUGUAGCGGUGAAAUGCUUAGAGAUUACAUGGAAUACCAAUUGCGAAGGCAGGUUACUACUAAUUGAUUGACGCUGAUGG